GAUGAACGCUGGCGGCGUGCCUAAUACAUGCAAGUCGAACGAAACUUCUUUAUCACCGAGUGCUUGCACUCACCGAUAAAGAGUUGAGUGGCGAACGGGUGAGUAACACGUGGUCAACCUGCCCAAAAGAGGGGGAUAACACUUGGAAACAGGUGCUAAUACCGCAUAACCAUAGUUACCGCAUGGUAACUAUGUAAAAGGUGGCUAUACUACCGCUUUUGGAUGGGCCCGCGGCGCAUUAGCUAGUUGGUAGGGUAAAGGCUUACCAAGGCAAUGAUGCGUAGCCGAAUUGAGAGGUUGAUCGGCCACAUUGGGACUGAGACACGGCCCAAACUCCUACGGGAGGCAGCAGUAGGGAAUCUUCCACAAUGGGCGAAAGCCUGAUGGAGCAACGCCGCGUGGGUGAAGAAGGUCUUCGGAUCGUAAAACCCUGUUGUUAGAGAAGAAAGUGCGUGAGAGUAACUGUUCACGUUUCGACGGUAUCUAACCAGAAAGCCACUGCUAACUACGUG
rnacentral:rRNA from 1 species